GAGUUUGAUUCUGGCUCAGGAUGAACGCUGGCGGUAUGCCUUAUACAUGCAAGUCGUACGAGAGUUUUUAGCUCAAGUGGCGGACGGGUGAGUAACACGUAAGAAUUUGCCUUUAGGAGGGGGACAACAACUGGAAACGGUUGCUAAUACCCCAUAUGCUUUCGAGUGAAAUGGUUUUUCCGCCUAAAGAGAAGCUUGCGGCUGAUUAGCUUGUUGGUAGAGUAAUAGCCUACCAAGGCGACGAUCAGUAUCUGGUUUGAGAGGACGAUCAGACACACUGGAACUGAGACACGGUCCAGACUCCUACGGGAGGCAGCAGUAGGGAAUUUUCCGCAAUGGGCGAAAGCCUGACGGAGCAAUACCGCGUGAGGGAUGACUGCCUAUGGGUUGUAAACCUCUUUUUUCAGGGAGGAAUAAAUGACGUGUACCUGAAGAAUAAGCAUCGGCUAACUCCGUGCCAGCAGCCGCGGUAAGACGGAGGAUGCAAGUGUUAUCCGGAAUCACUGGGCGUAAAGCGUCUGUAGGUGGUCAAAUAAGUCAACUGUUAAAUCUUGGGGCUCAACCUCAAAAUCGCAGUCGAAACUAUUAGGCUAGAGUAUAGUAGAGGUAAAGGGAAUUUCCAGUGGAGCGGUGAAAUGCGUAGAGAUUGGAAAGAACACCGAUGGCGAAGGCACUUUACUGGGCUAUUACUGACACUCAGAGACGAAAGCUAGGGUAGCAAAUGGGAUUAGAUACCCCAGUAGUCCUAGCCGUAAACAAUGGAUACUAGGUGUUGAACAGAUCGAUCUGUGCAGUACUAAAGCUAACGCGUUAAGUAUCCCGCCUGGGAAGUAUGCACGCAAGUGUGAAACUCAAAGGAAUUGACGGGGGCCCGCACAAGCGGUGGAGCAUGUGGUUUAAU
rnacentral:rRNA from 1 species